rnacentral:rRNA from 1 species
CCUACGGGUGGCAGCAGUGAGGAAUAUUGGUCAAUGGGCGCAAGCCUGAACCAGCCAAGUCGCGUGAGGGAUGACGGUCCGAUGGAUGGUAAACCUCGUUUGUCGGGGAGCAAGGCCCGCCACGUGUGGCGGGAAGGAGAGGACCCGAAGAAAAAGCAGCGGCUAACUCCGUGCCAGCAGCCGCGGUCAGACGGAGGAUGCGAGCGUUAUCCGGAUUUAUGGGGUUUAAAGGGGGCGUAGGCGGAAGGUUAAGUCAGCGGUCAAAUGUCGGGGCUCAACACCGGCCUGCCGUUGAAACUGGUCUUCUUGCGUGAGCGAGACGUAUGCGGCAUGCGUGGUGUAGCG